rnacentral:rRNA from 1 species
GACGAACGCUGGCGGCGUGCUUAACACAUGCAAGUCGAGCGGAAAGGCCCUUUCGGGGGUACUCGAGCGGCGAACGGGUGAGUAACACGUGAGUAACCUGCCCUGGACUUUGGGAUAACCCUCGGAAACGGGGGCUAAUACCGGAUACAACACUCUCCUGCAUGGGAUGGGUGUGGAAAGUUUUUUCGGUCUGGGAUGGGCUCGCGGCCUAUCAGCUUGUUGGUGGGGUGAUGGCCUACCAAGGCGACGACGGGUAGCCGGCCUGAGAGGGCGACCGGCCACACUGGGACUGAGACACGGCCCAGACUCCUACGGGAGGCAGCAGUGGGGAAUAUUGCACAAUGGGCGGAAGCCUGAUGCAGCGACGCCGCGUGA